AGUCGAGGGGCAUCAGUUUGGUUUGCUUGCAAACCAAAGCUGGCGACCGGCGCACGGGUGAGUAACACGUAUCCAACCUGCCUCAUACUCGGGGAUAGCCUUUCGAAAGAAAGAUUAAUAUCCGAUAGCAUAUAUUUCCCGCAUGGGUUUUAUAUUAAAGAAAUUCGGUAUGAGAUGGGGAUGCGUUCCAUUAGUUUGUUGGGGGGGUAACGGCCCACCAAGACUACGAUGGAUAGGGGUUCUGAGAGGAAGGUCCCCCACAUUGGAACUGAGACACGGUCCAAACUCCUACGGGAGGCAGCAGUGAGGAAUAUUGGUCAAUGGACGCGAGUCUGGACCAGCCAAGUAGCGUGAAGGAUGACUGCCCUAUGGGUUGUAAACUUCUUUUAUAUGGGAAUAAAGUUGUCCACGUGUGGAUUUUUGUAUGUACCAUAUGAAUAAGGAUCGGCUAACUCCGUGCCAGCAGCCGCGGUAAUACGGAGGAUCCGAGCGUUAUCCGGAUUUAUUGGGUUUAAAGGGAGCGUAGGCGGAUUGUUAAGUCAGUUGUGAAAGUUUGCGGCUCA
rnacentral:rRNA from 1 species